rnacentral:rRNA from 1 species
CCUACGGGUGGCAGCAGUGAGGAAUAUUGGUCAAUGGGCGCGAGCCUGAACCAGCCAAGUCGCGUGAGGGAAGACGGUCCUAUGGAUUGUAAACCUCGUUUGUCGGGGAGCAAAAGACGCCACGCGUGGCGUUCCGAGAGUACCCGAAGAAAAAGCAUAGGAUAACUCCGUGCAAGCAGCCGCGGUAAUACUGAGGAUGCGAGCGUUAUCCGGAUGUCUUGGGUUUAAAGGGUGCGCAGGCGGAAGAUCAAUUCAGCGGUAAAAUUGAGGGGCUCAACCUCUGCGAGCCGUUGAAACUGGGGUUCUUGAGUGAGCGAGAAGUAUGCGGAAUGCGUGGUGUAGCGGUGAAAUGCAUAGAUAUCACGCAGAACUCCGAUUGCGAAGGCAGCAUACCGGCGCUCAACUGACGCUCAUGCACGAAAGUGUGGGUAUCGAACAGGAUUAGAUACCCCAGUAGUC